GUAGGUGGCAAGCGUUGUCCGGAAUUAUUGGGCGUAAAGCGCGCGCAGGGCGGUCCUUUAAGUCUGAUGUGAAAGCCCACGGCUCAACCGUGGAGGGUCAUUGGAAACUGGGGGACUUGAGUACAGAAGAGGAAAGCGGAAUUCCAAGUGUAGCGGUGAAAUGCGUAGAGAUUUGGAGGAACACCAGUGGCGAAGGCGGCUUUCUGGUCUGUAACUGACGCUGAGGCGCGAAAGCGUGGGAGCAAACAGGAUUAGAUACCCUGGUAGUCCACGCCGUAAACGAUGAGUGCUAAGUGUUAGGGGGUUUCCGCCCCUUAGUGCUGCAGCUAACGCAUUAAGCACUCCGCCUGGGGAGUACGGCCGCAAGGCUG
rnacentral:rRNA from 1 species